rnacentral:rRNA from 1 species
UACAGAGGGUGCAAGCGUUAAUCGGAAUUACUGGGCGUAAAGCGCACGUAGGCGGCUUGGCAAGUUGGAUGUGAAUUCCCCGGGCUCAACCUGGGAAUUGCAUUCAAAACUGCCUAGCUCGAGUUUGGUAGAGGGAAGCGGAAUUCCAGGUGUAGCGGUGAAAUGCGUAGAUAUCUGGAGGAACACCGGUGGAGAAGGCGACAUCCUGGACCAAUACUGACGCUGAGUGAGCGAAAGCCAGGGGAGCAAACGGG